AUCGCUUCUCAGCCUUUUGGCUAAGAUCAAGUAUAGAAAUAGAUCUUUUAAAAAUACAGAUUCUUUGCAGACUGAAACAUUUUUUGCAAAGAAUUUGAUUUGCUUGAGUAUGCAUAUUUAUGACAAGUAUCCUCCUC
ensembl:snRNA U2 U2 spliceosomal RNA